rnacentral:lncRNA from 1 species
CACCCUAACACAAACCAAGACCUAGUCGAUCAAGAUCAGAUGAGGAGGAAAGCCUCCUCAGUGGCUCCUCUACAUCCCCAUAACCUCGCUAAGGGCAGAGGGAAAACGCUCGCCUAAAGGGAAAAUCCUCAUCCAAAUAAAAAGAAAAAGGGAGAUAAAAAGGGAAGGCGACAAACUACACCAGUGAUAAGUGAAAAACAAACUACGUCAAAGACACAAGGGACCUCAUCUCAACGAGAAAGAAUAUUCCUAUCAAAAACCCUCAGUUGCUAAGAGGGAACUCAACACAGGUCG